UAUCAUGGCUCAGGAUGAACGCUAGCUACAGGCUUAACACAUGCAAGUCGUGGGGCGAGCAUGGGAGGAUGCUUGCAUUUCCUUGAUGGCGACCGGCGCACGGGUGAGUAACGCGUAUCCAACCUGCCCUUCCACUCCGGCACAGCCCGUCGAAAGACGGAUUAAUGCGGGAUGCAGUCAGAAAGAUGCAUAUUAAUUUGACGAAAGGCUUUAUGCCGGUGAGGGAUGGGG
rnacentral:rRNA from 1 species